UUGUAUUUUUUAGUCGCAUAAUAUUGCGUCAUUAUACCGGUAGACGCGUGGCUUAUUCCUGAGCCAAACUUAUAAAGGACUUAUGAUAAGGAAAGCUGUAGCAUAACAGUUUCAACUGAAAAGUUUACUAGUCUGUUUUAACAAGACAGAGAAGAAAUGUUUCGAAUUCUAUCUUCCUUGCAAAAACGUACAGUGUACUUUCUGCCAAGGAGAGGCCUGAUGAGCACAGCAAUUCAACCGAAGAAGAUACCGACUGCAAACCCUGAGGUUAAAGGAUCGGAAGCGUGGAGACGACAGAUCCCUACAGGUACCGGGACACGAUGUGGGAAUCUCGAUUCCGCUGGUGACGGCUUUGUGGCGGCAAACUGGGGAACCUUCAUCAAAGGCACAUAGUCGGUCGGCGUGAAGAUCCAUCAAGCCCGUAUUGUGGUUUUCAUGGACUUUGGUUGACUGAAAUUCAGAAGUGUUCUUCAAUUUUGCCUGAUAUAACAUUAUCUGAAAUUACCUUUCUACAUGUAGGUACAUGUAACAUGUGCAAGAAUCACCAUUUUGAGAAUCCGACUCUGAUUCAAAGAUAAUAAAACUAAAAGGACAUUUUAAUCCA